rnacentral:rRNA from 1 species
UACGGAGGGGGCAAGCGUUAUCCGGAUUCACUGGGUUUAAAGGGUGCGUAGGCGGGUUGGUAAGUCCGUGGUGAAAUCCCCAAGCUUAACUUGGGAACUGCCGUGGAUACUAUCAAUCUUGAAUAUCGUGGAGGUAAGCGGAAUAUGUCAUGUAGCGGUGAAAUGCUUAGAUAUGACAUAGAACACCAAUUGCGUAGGCAGCUUACUACACGAUCAUUGACGCUGAGGCACGAAAGCGUGGGGAGCAAACAGG